rnacentral:lncRNA from 10 species
GUAAUUAACUAUUUUCUUUCUUUUUUCUUUUUUAGGAAUAGGGUCUCAUAGGACAAUGUCUCAGUACAACCUCAAACUUCUUGGCUCAAGCGACCCUCUCGCCUCAGCCCCCCUAGUAGCUGGGACUACGGGCACACCACCAUGUCUAGCUGGGACUACAGGCACACCACCAUGCCUGGCUAAUUAAUUUUUUUUUUUUUUUUUUUAGAGAUAGGGUCUUGCUCUGUUGCCCAGGCUGAUCUCGAACUCCUGGGCUCAAGCAAUCCUCCUGCCUCAGCCUUCCAAAAUGUUGGGAUUAUAGGCGUGAGUCACUGCACCUGGCCUUGUAAUGAUCUAAUUUCUUGUAUGGUUUAUUUAUCAGGGUCUGCCUUCCUAACAGGCUGUAGGUUCCUCAAGGGUUGGGACUGUGCCUGUGUUCUGGGCACCUGCCCAUGCCUGGCAAUUUGAAGAAGCUCAAUUGCUACAUGUUGAAGGAAUGAAUAAUUGCAUGAGCAACCAUCGAUAAUUGCAUGCUACAACCAUCAAACUUGCAGGGUUCUUCCAUGGAAUAAGUGAGGUAAUUAUGUGUAAAAAUGAAUGAAUGUUGUACUUGUUAUAAAAUAAGAUCAUGGGCUGGAGAAAUAGUCCAGCGAAUGAGUGAACGAAUCAAUGGCCUCAGCUGCCCGAGUGGGCGGAGCUUACGUUCUUUCCACAAGGGAAGUUCCCUAGGAGUUUCCGUCAGUAGCUCCCGAGCACGCCGGAGGCCUGGCCUGUGGAUGAGAUUGUUCCUUAUUUCCCCAGCUUCAGCACCACAGAAGAGACCAGAGUCUACCUUGCCAGCUCCUCUAGCACCGACCACGUGCCAAUUCAUGUCCUGAAUGCUCACUUCACUUCUUCACCUUGCUUCACUUCACUUACUGCACGGGAACAGAAAAGCCUAGAGAGGAUGGAUUACCUGUGCGGUUGCCUCCCUCUGCAGAGUGGGCGUGUCUCAGGAGCUUCUCUUCUUCUCCAGCCCAGUGCGGCCUCGUGUCAUCCAUAGGACCCACCGGCAGAGGGCAGGGCCUGCGAGUGGGGCCAGCCUCCUGGUGACUCUCGCCUCCUCUUUUCCAGCGGACGCUACCAGAGGACGAAGGUCUGACUCUGGCCAACGGCCCAGAAUUUCUGGCCCAGUUUUGCCUGAGGAAGCCAACUGUGCAGGAGGUCAGGAUCCCGGUAGGGUGAGAGUGGGAAAGUUAACAUUCCCAAGAGACUCCAAGCAACAGGAUUUCCUGACCUGGGACUAUUACCUUUCUCACAUUACAUGGCCAGAUUUACUUCCUGCUAUUAUUAAAAGUACGAAAAAGAUGAAGAUAUGUGUUUAAUGGAAACAAGGGCAAGAGUUUGCCUGACUGGACUUUGAGGAGGCUGUAGGAUCAUGGCGCUAACGGCAUUUGGAGGGCUGGGAAGGGACUCUAGCCCUGGCUUUACCUGCCUUUGUCAUCAGCUGGAGCAAGCAACUCCGCAACCUCGGAGCCUCAGUUUCCUUUUCUGUAAAAGGCGGGGAGGGUGGGUGGUAAGUGCAAUGCUGAAUCAGAACUCAUAGAGCUGCUGGGUGGACAUGUGAAGUAAAAGAGGAGACAGCUUUUGCUCCUGAAGGAUGCCAUUUGCGUUUUCCUCAUCAGUUUGAUCUCCUCCAAUCAUCCAGCACCUCCAUCUGACCUUCUCAGCUGAGAGGUCCUCAGUGUUUCUGUGGCCUCCAGGAGAAAGGUCCCCCUCCCCGGCUGAGGCCAGGCUGAUGGCAGGCUGCACGGCCAGCCUUCCACAGUCACCUGAAGGAUACAGAAAAGGAAGAGCUGGAGGCUUCUAGCAAGCUGCCGAACUGUGUCCUCCAGCUGCGCCCAGCCCCCUGGAGGUAGCGCCGGAGCACGUGGUGGUGGCUAUGUAGGAAGGCCCCUUUCGAGCCGCCCUAUACUGUCUUUGGGAUCUGCUUUUUACUGCCACAGCCUAUGUGCUCCUGAUUCUUCUCUCAAUCCCUGGAUGGAAACCGGCCUCUGAUACUUGGCUCUGCUUCCUUGGAGGAGCUACUUAACCAUUCAGUCCUCUCUGCAGUUAGCUAUUAAGGUUGUCCUGCGAACUGAAGCAGAGAGUCCCCGCAAAGGGUGCAGAGUAGGGCACCCACAGAGGAGCCUCUAAAGCACUUUCCAUGAGGUGGAUGGCUUCUCCUCCCCAAGGGACCCAGGAAGGAAAGGAGAGCUGCUUCUGCCUCCCCAGCAGAGAGGGACCUUCCCAGAGAAGAUGUCUUGCGCCUCACCUGAUCUUGUUCUGAGAGUAGGAGACUGGAAGAGAAGCGUUCAACUCCCCAAACACAGCUGGGUUUGUUUCGUUUAAUCUCCCAGCCUGUUUUUCUGCUGUCCUCCUGAAGAAUGUUUAAUCUCACAGUUAAAACCACCAAAAGCGACUUUUUUCCCCCUCAACUGCUCAGUAACACAUGACCGUGCAAAUUCGUUUGGCCCCAGCGCCACAAGUCAUAAAAGGCAUCUAGUGGGCGGCAUGAGUCAAUCAGGCCUUUGGACGGUGACGUAACCACAGCUUGUCAGUUUCCCCAUCCAGGCAGCCCCAAUCCCCCAGUGCAGACAUCUGGAGCCAGGGAUUGACAAGUGGAUUCCAGGAUUGGGCCCUGCCUCCCGCCCUGUUCAGUUCCAGCCCAGCCACGGCCGCCGCCAACGAGGACACGCACUGUCUUUCUGCACAUUCCCACGUACACACACCCCCGCAGCCCCCUCUCCACUCAUUCCUGCAUUUCCGGCAAUGUGAAUUCUGACAGCUCGGGCAGUGUCAGCCUCUCCGGUGCAUUCCUCACCACACCACCUCACUGCUCCCGAGCCUGCUGACAGCACUCCCCGCCAUACCUACCAAGCCGAAGGUGCAAGGAACCUCUUGAUCCCCACUGUGUCUUUGUCCCAGGGCCACAGCAAAAUAGCACCCCCCUCCCCCACACACCCUCUAGCCUAAUUUAUUAGACUUUUAAACACAUUUAUUUACUGUGAUAUCUACACCACACCAAACAUCUGGAGGGAAACCGGGAGACAAUCCACCAGGAAUUUAAAUGUUUGUUCUGCAAUGUAACUUUGAAAACCGAACCAGGAAAACUUGACAUCUUUAGCCAAUUGCUUGGUGGUGAGUAGACUUAAGCCAAUAUAUAAUCUGUAAAGGUUGUCCCUCUUUGCCCUCUCUCUAUCCAUGAAACGCAUUCACCAAACAGCCCAGAAAUAUUUCUUUCUUCUCCUCUCAGAGGUAUGUGAAACCAACCUGAAUCAACAACAUAGUUGUUCAACCAGCCUCACUGAGAACGAAGGCAUUUCAGAGCUGGAAAGACGCUAGGGUCUGGGGUCUUAUCUUCCACAUUUAUCUGCCUUAUUAUAAUCCAUCCAGUCAUCCUCUUUGCCCUUGCCAGAUCUCAUCGCUUACCAAAGUGCUGGGAUGACAGGUGUGAGCCACCGCACCCGGCCACGUCUGUGACUUUUCUAAAGCUUUAAGAUGAUGUCACCCAUAGGCAGAAAGGCCCACUCAUUUCGUGCAUCUGCAGUCACUCUUCUGACGAGGUGCGGCUCUCUUUUGUUCUAUCAAAGAGAAAGCCAGUCUAAAUUAAUGGGAAACUAGAGAAUUAGGUCAUUUUUCAAGAUGAAAUUGCUGGUAGCUUAAGGAAUCAGCUACUUGAAUCCCAUGCUAAAAAAGUGUAACUCCUGAGGAGUGAGCUCUUCUUUCUUCCUUCCAUAAUGUCAGGCACUAAGGGAGGUUCAGAAACACAGAGCAGCAUCUACUCCUUUCUCAACGAGCGUGGGGUCCAGUGCAGUUGGCCCUCAUUUAACAAAUAAUUACACCCAUGCGUGAAAGGUCCAGUGGGGAAACAGUGCGGGGAGCCUCAGGCAGAGCUGAUUCAGGCCUGGGGAGGCACGGGAGCCACAUGUUCAGGGUCCACAGGCCCAGCGGAGUGAUACGGAAGUUUCCAAGAUGGUAAGCCUCUCUCCUGGCCCAUGCUCACCAACGGGACCCCAUUCCUAACCAGGCUUUCCCUCUCUCUCUUUUAAGUGUUCCAGGAAUGUUCCUACCCCUGCGUCUUUGCUGAAGCCCCUCUUGCCUGGGAUGCCCUCUGUCCUCUCUUUCUGCCCACACACAUCCUGCCAGUCCUUCAGACAGGGCCAGCCUCACGGGCAUAGGACCUGAGCAGUUUCACAGGGCCCUAUGCACAGAAGGAUCCCAAGCUCGGUUGAUUGCUCCGAUCUUGCCAUCUUGAAACUCUUUGAUAAUUUUAUCUUUUAUCUUGUGUUUUGGGAGUGAAAUCCAAUGGGAUAUUGGGGCCUGCAAAGGAGAAGAGGAGAUCCGCACAAACCCGUUCCUGGCUGCUGCAUUCACCUCCAGCGUUUGUGAUGCCCCAGAGCACAGAACUCCAGGGAGCCCACGAUGCAGGAGAGUUCAGCGACAUUCACUGAGUACAAGAGAAGACUGUUGGGAGGCACCAAUGGACUUUGCAACUGGAGAUCUCCCAACUGGACCAUGUCACUGUUAUGUUUAAUUUGCACUGUGCACAGUAGGUACCCAGUCAACGUUUGUCGAAUUCCAUGGACUGGGCCUUAUACCUCCGAGGAUUUUUCACAGCAGUAGCAUGUGCACAUGCACAGAACGAGAACACAACCAAUGCUUGUUUGCUGGUGAAGACCUGGUCUCAGUAUUUUGCCCAGGAAACCCUUUCUUCAUGGACAGCAUGAGGCAAGCUAUGGCCCUUGCUGUGGUCUCAGUGGUUCAGCACGGAAGAUGAAGAUGACGGGCAGUCUCAGAAUAUUAGCUUUAGAAGGGACUUUGGAUCCUUUUGAUUUUGGUAGGUGAAAUACUUUUUAAAAAUAAAGAAAACGGACUUUGGACAAAUGCUCUCAUUUUGUAAAUGAAAAAGUAGAGACAGGAAGAGUAACUGAUUUGUCCAAAAUCAAACAAAGUAAAUUGUGUUGCAUCCUCUCCAUCCGUAACCACCUUCGCCUUCCCUAACUGCUCCAUGUGGCCUGGGAAAGUCCACUUCACCUCGUCUUAGAGGUGGGCUUCUGAUUCUAGCUAAGCCAACCCCCA